ACUCUGGUAUUGAUUGGUGCUUGCAUCAUGAUUUACAUUUGAGUGAGUGGCGAACUGGUGAGUAACACGUGGGAAACCUGCCCAGAAGCGGGGGAUAACACCUGGAAACAGAUGCUAAUACCGCAUAACAACUUGGACCGCAUGGUCCGAGCUUGAAAGAUGGCUUCGGCUAUCACUUUUGGAUGGUCCCGCGGCGUAUUAGCUAGAUGGUGGGGUAACGGCUCACCAUGGCAAUGAUACGUAGCCGACCUGAGAGGGUAAUCGGCCACAUUGGGACUGAGACACGGCCCAAACUCCUACGGGAGGCAGCAGUAGGGAAUCUUCCACAAUGGACGAAAGUCUGAUGGAGCAACGCCGCGUGAGUGAAGAAGGGUUUCGGCUCGUAAAACUCUGUUGUUAAAGAAGAACAUAUCUGAGAGUAACUGUUCAGGUAUUGACGGUAUUUAACCAGAAAGCCACGGCUAACUACGUGCCAGCAGCCGCGGUAAUACGUAGGUGGCAAGCGUUGUCCGGAUUUAUUGGGCGUAAAGCGAGCGCAGGCGGUUUUUUAAGUCUGAUGUGAAAGCCUUCGGCUCAACCGAAGAAGUGCAUCGGAAACUGGGAAACUUGAGUGCAGAAGAGGACAGUGGAACUCCAUGUGUAGCGGUGAAAUGCGUA
rnacentral:rRNA from 1 species